UGGGGAAUAUUGGACAAUGGGCGCAAGCCUGAUCCAGCCAUGCCGCGUGAGUGAUGAAGGCCCUAGGGUUGUAAAGCUCUUUCAACGGUGAAGAUAAUGACGGUAACCGUAGAAGAAGCCCCGGCUAACUUCGUGCCAGCAGCCGCGGUAAUACGAAGGGGGCUAGCGUUGUUCGGAUUUACUGGGCGUAAAGCGCACGUAGGCGGAUCGUUAAGUGAGGGGUGAAAUCCCAGGGCUCAACCCUGGAACUGCCUUUCAUACUGGCGAUCUGGAGUUCGAGAGAGGUGAGUGGAAUUCCGAGUGUAGAGGUGAAAUUCGUAGAUAUUCGGAGGAACACCAGUGGCGAAGGCGGCUCACUGGCUCGAUACUGACGCUGAGGUGCGAAAGCGUGGGGAG
rnacentral:rRNA from 1 species